UGAUUAAAGGUCGGUUUUGAUCUGAAAUCACACAUCUUGGUUGUUUUUUCUUUCUCUUUCAGUUGAAUAAGGGAUAUUAUAUGGUGUGUUUUUUAUUUCUUGUUUUUGGGUUGUGUGUUUUUUAUUUCGCGUUGUUUAUUUGAUUCAGAUUGAAAAAGCAUCUUUGAUCAAAUGCAAAUUCAAUCAAUGGUUUUGACGUCGUCGAUGUUGUAAGAUACGGAUACAUGUGUUUUCGAUGUUGUGAUCCUUUUUUAUUUUUAAUGACUUUGAAUUUGUAUUCCACAGGGAAGUGAAUCUAAAUCUAAAACACACACAGAUAGCAUAGAAACCUUUAGUUAUCCCUCCUCCUUCUUCUUCUUCCAGUCGAUUGAAGUAGGAUAUGUUUCGCAGAAGCUUUAAACCCGGGAAAUGUAAAAAUGCAUUGAGGAUGGCUGCUGCGCGUAUAAAGCUUAUAAACCACAAAAGAGGACUCCAGGUGAAACAACUCGAGAGGGAGAUAAUAUAUUUGCUCGAGAGUUGUCAGUCUCACACUGCCACAAUCCGGGUUAAAGCUUUUGAAAUGGAGCAGAAGAAGAUGGCGGCAUAUGAUACUAUUGCCAUUUACUGUGAACUUAUCGCAUCACGCAUGCCCUUGAUUGAAUCACAGAAAAACUGCCCUGGUGAUUUGAAGGAAGCAAUUUCAAGUGUAAUAUAUGCAAGUCGAUUAUGUACCGAAAUACCUGAGCUCCUGGAUGUGAGGAUGCAUUUCAUAUCAAAGUAUGGUAAAAUAUUUGUUUCAGAUGCUGAAUUUCGCUCUGAGGGUGGUGCAAAUUUCAUGUUGAUGGAGAAAUUGUCUUCCAAACCACCUGAUCAUCCAACCAAGAUAAAAAUACUGGUGGCAAUUGCUGAGGAGCAUAAUAUCAAAUGGAAACCCAAUGAUAUUGGGCAAAGUACUUUUGGGAAGGCGGCUUAUGUGGAACCUUCUGAAGUCCACACUUCACCUGUUCAUGAUGACGAGGGUCCAGCAAAUUCAUGUGCUACCUCUCAACUUGAACCAAAGCAAGAUGCAUCUACACAUUCAUAUGAACAGAAUGCAAGUGGUUCUGCUAGAAACGGUAGUGGCAAUCACUCAACAACGCCAGGCAUGGCUAAUGUAGAAAUUACAUUUUCAGAAGACGGUGGACAAGAAAUGAAUUUUGAAGAUUCAUAUUUUGAAAACCGGAGUGCUUUUCCAGUUGGUAAGCAUUUGGACAUGGAAUCUAAGGGUGCAACCUCUGCUGCACUGGCUGAUAUUUCAUCUUCAUUAAGAGCACACGUCAAAUCUUCUGAUUUUGAUAGUUAUGCUCUAGUUGCAGACUCACAAAAGACAACUAGUACUCAUGAACCUCACAUUCAGAAUAAGAAAAGUGAAACAAAAAAGAAAUCAAGCUCAUUGGCCUCAAUUCGCUACUUUGAUUCCGAUGAUAGCGAUUCUGAGGAUGGACUUCAUAAACGGAAUUCAGCUAGUGUUGCCCAUCCUAUUCGUAGAAUAUGUCAGAGGACGUAAGCUUCUUCAAAUUCUGGUACAGUUUUAAGUUCAAAGGAUGCUUCUUUAUCUGAGGCUGUUGUGACUCAUGGUUCAAGGCUUGGAUGGAAAUGGAAAUCUUCAAGGGUUCAUAAUAAUGAUCUCUGAAAAUUAGGCAGGACCUAGACCUGGAUCAGCAAAUAUUGAAUCAUUUAAGCCAAUUUCUGAACCUAUGAUAUCCAAAAAUGAGGAAAUGAUGAAUUCAACUGCAAGGGUACACUUUCCAGUUCUCUUCCCAGAACAAUGAUACAAGAUAGUGAGGCCAUAAGAUUUCAAAAACUUUAAAUUCUGGUGGAGACACUCCCCCUAUACAGAAGAAUACAAAAUCGAACCUGAGCUUGUGGCAUCUAGCUAGGGACAUUGCCUCCUGGAUUAAUAGCAUUCCAUGGUAAAUGGUAAUGUACAUACUAUUGAUCCUUUUCGGCACAUGCUGCGAUUGGGAUAUCAAGAAAAUACAAGUCUUGUUGAUGCUAAGAAUGCUGGGGUUGUCAAUUUCAAUGGCUGAGCAAAACCAUGGCUAGAUAUUAUUUUUCCAAAACUAAGGCCAUUGUGGACCAAAUAUGUUGACUUUUCAGAUAACUUCAUCAAGAGUUGUCACAUUAUUGCAUCAUAACUUGGAUAUUGAGAAAAUGUGACACUUUUAAUGUUGAAGAAAAGGUAUUUGUACAGAAGGGAACGAAAAUGAGAGGACUUCCAUGUGCAAGCCAGUGGCUUCAGAAUAAGAAUUUUAUAAGAAAAGUGAGCUUUUGGAUGGACAAAAAGAUCACAACACUCCCAUUUUUUUGCUAUUUAAUUUACAUAUCACGUUUUAUAUUUGCGAAAUUUAAUUGAUAUAUGCACUAAAGUAUUUACACCUGCAUUAAAGACAUUUCAUCAUAUAGGCAUUUGUGGACUACUUUAUUUCAUAUAAAUAUUUGCGGGCAUAUUUUACAAAACUUUUGUAUUUGUAUUCACUCUUAACAACUCUCCAACAAAGAUUAUAUAAUUUUAUUUUUAAAAAUGAAAAACAUUGGUCAUGACACCGGAUAUGUUAAGACAUCUACAUUUUAAGUAAAAAA